GACGAACGCUGGCGGCGUGCCUAAUACAUGCAAGUUGAGCGCUGAAGGUUGGUACUUGUACCAACUGGAUGAGCAGCGAACGGGUGAGCAACGCGUGGGGAAUCUGCCUUUGAGCGGGGGACAACAUUUGGAAACGAAUGCUAAUACCGCAUAAAAACUUUAAACACAAGUUUUAAGUUUGAAAGAUGCAAUUGCAUCACUCAAAGAUGAUCCCGCGUUGUAUUAGCUAGUUGGUGAGGUAAAGGCUCACCAAGGCGAUGAUACAUAGCCGACCUGAGAGGGUGAUCGGCCACAUUGGGACUGAGACACGGCCCAAACUCCUACGGGAGGCAGCAGUAGGGAAUCUUCGGCAAUGGACGAAAGUCUGACCGAGCAACGCCGCGUGAGUGAAGAAGGUUUUCGGAUCGUAAAACUCUGUUGGUAGAGAAGAACGUUGGUGAGAGUGGAAAGCUCAUCAAGUGACGGUAACUACCCAGAAAGGGACGGCUAACUACGU
rnacentral:rRNA from 1 species